UACGGGGGGGGCAAGCGUUGUUCGGAAUUACUGGGCGUAAAGGGCUCGUAGGCGGCCAACUAAGUCGGAUGUGAAAUCCCCAGGCUUAACCUGGGAACUGCAUCCGAUACUGGAUGGCUUGAAUCCGGGAGAGGGAUGCAGAAUUCCAGGUGUAGCGGUGAAAUGCGUAGAUAUCGCUUGGAACGCCGAAGGUGAAAACAGGCUGCUGGGGUUGCGCCGACGCUGAGACACGAAAGCCAGGGGAGCAAACGGG
rnacentral:rRNA from 1 species